rnacentral:piRNA from 1 species
UGUUGCUUGUUAAAAGGAGAAAGAGAUCCUU